AGAGUUUGAUCAUGGCUCAGAUUGAACGCUGGCGGCAGGCCUAACACAUGCAAGUCGAGCGGUAACAGAGAGUAGCUUGCUACUUUGCUGACGAGCGGCGGACGGGUGAGUAAUGCUUGGGAACAUGCCUUGAGGUGGGGGACAACAGUUGGAAACGACUGCUAAUACCGCAUAAUGUCUACGGACCAAAGGGGGCUUCGGCUCUCGCCUUUAGAUUGGCCCAAGUGGGAUUAGCUAGUUGGUGAGGUAAUGGCUCACCAAGGCGACGAUCCCUAGCUGGUUUGAGAGGAUGAUCAGCCACACUGGGACUGAGACACGGCCCAGACUCCUACGGGAGGCAGCAGUGGGGAAUAUUGCACAAUGGGCGCAAGCCUGAUGCAGCCAUGCCGCGUGUGUGAAGAAGGCCUUCGGGUUGUAAAGCACUUUCAGUCAGGAGGAAAGGUUAGUAGUUAAUACCUGCUAGCUGUGACGUUACUGACAGAAGAAGCAUCGGCUAACUCCGUGCCAGCAGCCGCGGUAAUACGGAGGGUGCGAGCGUUAAUCGGAAUUACUGGGCGUAAAGCGUACGCAGGCGGUUUGUUAAGCGAGAUGUGAAAGCCCCGGGCUCAACCUGGGAACUGCAUUUCGAACUGGCAAACUAGAGUGUGAUAGAGGGUGGUAGAAUUUCAGGUGUAGCGGUGAAAUGCGUAGAGAUCUGAAGGAAUACCGAUGGCGAAGGCAGCCACCUGGGUCAACACUGACGCUCAUGUACGAAAG
rnacentral:rRNA from 1 species